UACGGAGGAUCCAAGCGUUAUCCGGAUUUAUUGGGUUUAAAGGGUGCGUAGGCGGUUUAUUAAGUCAGUGGUGAAAGCCCGGGGCUCAACCUCGGAACUGCCUUUGAUACAGCACGUCUCGAGUCCGGAAGAGGUGGGUGGAAUUCCUAGUGUAGAGGUGAAAUUCGUAGAUAUUAGGAAGAACACCGGUGGCGAAGGCGGCCCACUGGUCCGGUACUGACGCUGAGGUGCGAAAGCGUGGGGAGCAAACAGG
rnacentral:rRNA from 1 species